rnacentral:rRNA from 1 species
AACGCGAAGAACCUUACCCAGGCUCGAACGGCAGAUGCAAUCCCACGAAAGUGGGUUCCCGCAAGGGCGUCUGCCGAGGUGCUGCAUGGCUGUCGUCAGCUCGUGUCGUGAGAUGUUGGGUUAAGUCCCGCAACGAGCGCAACCCUUGUCCGCUGUUGCCAUCAGGUUAUGCUGGGCACUCUGCGGAGACUGCCGGUGAUAAACCGGAGGAAGGUGGGGAUGACGUCAAGUCAGCAUGGCCUUUAUGUCUGGGGCUACACACGUGCUACAAUGGCCGGUACAAACCGUCGCGAGCCCGCGAGGGGGAGCUAAUCGGAGAAAGCCGGUCUCAGUUCGGAUUGCAGGCUGCAACUCGCCUGCAUGAAGUUGGAGUCGCUAGUGAUCGCGAAUCAGAAUGUCGCGGUGAAUACGUUCCCGGGCCUUGUACACACCG